rnacentral:rRNA from 1 species
GACGAACGCUGGCGGCGUGCCUAAUACAUGCAAGUCGAGCGGAACUUAGAAAGCUUGCUUUCUAAGUUUAGCGGCGGACGGGUGAGUAACACGUGGGCAACCUGCCUAUAAGACUGGGAUAACUUCGGGAAACCGGAGCUAAUACCGGAUAAUAUAAAAGAUCACAUGGUCUUUUAUUGAAAGAUGGCUUCGGCUAUCACUUAUAGAUGGGCCCGCGCCGCAUUAGCUAGUUGGUGAGGUAAUGGCUCACCAAGGCGACGAUGCGUAGCCGACCUGAGAGGGUGAUCGGCCACACUGGGACUGAGACACGGCCCAGACUCCUACGGGAGGCAGCAGUAGGGAAUCUUCCGCAAUGGACGAAAGUCUGACGGAGCAACGCCGCGUGAACGAUGAAGGCCUUCGGGUCGUAAAGUUCUGUUGUUAGGGAAGAACAAGUGCCGUUCGAAUAGGGCGGCACCUUGACGGUACCUCACGAGAAAGCCCCGGCUAACUACGUG